AAAAAAAGAAAGAAUGUUGUCUUCCCUCGCCAUGUGAUUCCAAUGUCUGGAGUCAAAAAUAUUAAACAAUCCUUGCUUUAAAGUUUGAUCCAGUUUGCACAAUUGGGUGAAAAAUAACUUUUGGAUCAAAAAGUGUUUCAUCAAAAUUUAUUUAGAGGGCAAUAUUUUGGAUAAGUUACUGAACUAAAGGAUCCAAAAGGAAUAAAGAUUUGGAAAAAGUGAUUCAACCAAGUUUUGAAAAAUUUGACCAUAAUUUCUCUUCUGAAAAAGUUUAUUUGUAAUUAUGUUGUUAUUUAACUUGUAAUUAGUGUAAAAUAAACCUUUUUGAUGUUUUAACUUCUUUGUUUUCAUUGUUGACACUUCUGGAUAUUGUCUCUUCUUAUUUCUUAUGUAGACAUGCUCACAUAUUUUUUUGGUAAUAAUUUUUGAGCUAAAAUUCUUUCUCUCGAUAAAAUUGUUUUCGAGAUGCUUACCUUUAAUGGAUACUUAUGGUGUUUAAAAAUUAAUUUAUCCAUAAGUUUAU